rnacentral:rRNA from 1 species
AACGAACGCUGGCGGCAUGCCUAACACAUGCAAGUCGAACGAGACCUUCGGGUCUAGUGGCGCACGGGUGCGUAACGCGUGGGAACCUGCCCUUAGGUUCGGAAUAACUCUCCGAAAGGGGUGCUAAUACCGGAUAAUGUCUUCGGACCAAAGAUUUAUCGCCUUUGGAUGGGCCCGCGUUGGAUUAGCUAGUUGGUAGGGUAAUAGCCUACCAAGGCGACGAUCCAUAGCUGGUCUGAGAGGAUGAUCAGCCACACUGGGACUGAGACACGGCCCAGACUCCUACGGGAGGCAGCAGUGGGGAAUAUUGGAACAUGGGCGAAAGCCUGAUCCAGCAAUGCCGCGUGAGUGAUGAAGGCCGUAGGGUUGUAAAGCUCUUUUACCCGGGAUGAUAAUGACAGUACCGGGAGAAUAAGCUCCGGCUAACUCCGUG